rnacentral:lncRNA from 1 species
GCACGGCACAUACAAUUCUAUGGUUGUAAAAAAUCUUAUGAGCUCUGUUGUCAUUAUGAAAAACUAUACUUUUGUCUUUGUAGACGGAAAGUAUAUUUUGCUUUAUUUCCAAAGCUGCAAACGUCGUGUUCAAAAUUGCAAGUAUUGAACAUAAAGAGAAACUUAGAGUGAGCAUUUUAGUUUCUCAGGGGUUACAAUCAGACCGUUUAUAUUCACCCUUGCAGCGUACGACAGUUGUAAUGCAGUUGUAAUGUAUUUAUCAUAGUGCUAUCGAUUAACGAC